CCUACGGGAGGCAGCAGUGAGGAAUAUUGGUCAAUGGACGAGAGUCUGAACCAGCCAAGUAGCGUGAAGGAUGACUGCCCUAUGGGUUGUAAACUUCUUUUAUAUGGGAAUAAAAUGUUCCACGUGUGGGAUUUUGUAUGUACCAUAUGAAUAAGGAUCGGCUAACUCCGUGCCAGCAGCCGCGGUAAUACGGAGGAUCCGAGCGUUAUCCGGAUUUAUUGGGUUUAAAGGGAGCGUAGGUGGAUUGAUAAGUCAGUUGUGAAAGUUUGCGGCUCAACCGUAAAAUUGCAGUUGAAACUGGCAGUCUUGAGUACAGUAGAGGUGGGCGGAAUUCGUGGUGUAGCGGUGAAAUGCUUAGAGAUCACGAAGAACUCCGAUUGCGAAGGCAGUUCACUGGACUGCAACUGACACUGAGGCUCGAAAGUGUGGGUAUCAAACAGGAUUAGAUACCCCGGUAGUC
rnacentral:rRNA from 1 species